rnacentral:lncRNA from 1 species
AUGGGAAGGUGGUGGGGUGCUCGACCCCACGACCCCGCGGCGUCUGCAGCUGCUGAGCUUUCGCGGAGACCAAGGCUCGAGCCAGGAGCUGGAGGAGCGGCCUUUACUAGGGGCCGGGCAGGACGCGGGGGCCAGUGCGGGGGCUCCAGGCAGGACGCGGGGGCCAGUGCGGGGGCCGGCAGGACGCGGGGGGCAGAUUCGGAGGAGGGGCCGCCCGGCCGUCCUGGAAGCCGUGGGCCCCCUCGGUGCUGGGCAAGCCCAGGCGGACGCAUCCGGGCCCGGGGCAUCGCCGUAGGUCCCGCGGGGGCACUGCCGGGGUGCCGGCUGGGCGCGAGCGUGGGGUCCCCGGGGUGCCGGCGGGGCGCGAGCGUGGGGUCCCCGGGGUGCCGGCUGGGCGCGAGCGUGGAGUCCCGGGGUGCCGGCUGGGGGCGAGCGUGGGGUCCCCGGGGUGCCGGCGGGGCGCGAGCGUGGGGUCCCGGGGUGCCGGCGGGGCGCGAGCGUGGGUCCCGGGGUGCCGGCUGGGCGCGAGCGUGGGGUCCCCGGGGUGCCGGCGGGGCGCGAGCGUGGGGUCCCCGGGGUGCCGGCUGGGCGCGAGCGUGGAGUCCCGGGGUGCCGGCUGGGGGCGAGCGUGGGGUCCCCGGGGUGCCGGCGGGGCGCGAGCGUGGGGUCCCGGGGUGCCGGCGGGGCGCGAGCGUGGGUCCCGGGGUGCCGGCUGGGCGCGAGCGUGGGGUCCCCGGGGUGCCGGCGGGGCGCGAGCGUGGGGUCCCCGGGGUGCCGGCGGGGCGCGAGCGUGGGGUCCCGGGGUGCCGGCGGGGCGCGAGCGUGGGGUCCCCGGGGUGCCGGCAGGGCGCGAGCGUGGGGUCCCGGGGUGCCGGCUGGGCGCGAGCGUGGGGUCCCCGGGGUGCCGGCGGGGCGCGAGCGUGGGGUCCCCGGGGUGCCGGCGGGGCGCGAGCGUGGGGUCCCGGGGUGCCGGCGGGGCGCGAGCGUGGGUCCCGGGGUGCCGGCUGGGCGCGAGCGUGGGGUCCCCGGGGUGCCGGCGGGGCGCGAGCGUGGGGUCCCGGGGUGCCGGCGGGGCGCGAGCGUGGGUCCCGGGGUGCCGGCUGGGCGCGAGCGUGGGGUCCCCGGGGUGCCGGCGGGGCGCGAGCGUGGGGUCCCCGGGGUGCCGGCGGGGCGCGAGCGUGGGGUCCCCGGGGUGCCGGCGGGGCGCGAGCGUGGGGUCCCGGGGUGCCGGCGGGGCGCGAGCGUGGGGUCCCCGGGGUGCCGGCGGGGCGCGAGCGUGGGGUCCCGGGGUGCCGGCUGGGCGCGAGCGUGGGUCCCGGGGUGCCGGCUGGGCACGAGCGUGGGGUCCCGGGGUGCCGGCUGGGGGCGAGCGUGGGGUCCCGGGGUGCCGGCGGGGCGCGAGCGUGGGGUCCCGGGGUGCCAGCUGGGGGCGAGCGUGGGGUCCCCGGGGUGCCGGCAGGGCGCGAGCGUGGGGUCCCGGGGUGCCGGCUGGGCGCGAGCGUGGGGUCCCCGGGGUGCCGGCGGGGCGCGAGCGUGGGGUCCCCGGGGUGCCGGCGGGGCGCGAGCGUGGGGUCCCCGGGGUGCCGGCGGGGCGCGAGCGUGGGUCCCGGGGUGCCGGCGGGGCGCGAGCGUGGGUCCCGGGGUGCCGGCUGGGCACGAGCGUGGGGUCCCGGGGUGCCGGCUGGGGGCGAGCGUGGGGUCCCGGGGUGCCGGCGGGGCGCGAGCGUGGGGUCCCCGGGGUGCCGGCGGGGCGCGAGCGUGGGGUCCCGGGGUGCCGGCGGGGCGCGAGCGUGGGGUCCCGGGGUGCCGGCGGGGCGCGAGCGUGGGUCCCAGGGUGCCGGCGGGGCGCGAGCGUGGAGUCCCGGGGUGCCGGCGGGGCGCGAGCGUGGGGUCCCCGGGGUGCCGGCGGGGCGCGAGCGUGGGGUCCCGGGGUGCCGGCUGGGGGCGAGCGUGGGGUCCCCGGGGUGCCGGCGGGGCGCGAGCGUGGGGUCCCCGGGGUGCCGGCUGGGGGCGAGCGUGGGGUCCCCGGGGUGCCGGCGGGGCGCGAGCGUGGGGGUCCCCGGGGUGCCGGCUGGGGGCGAGCGUGGGGUCCCGGGGUGCCGGCUGGGCGCGAGCGUGGGGUCCCGGGGUGCCGGCUGGGGGCGAGCGUGGGGUCCCCGGGGUGCCGGCGGGGCGCGAGCGUGGGGUCCCCGGGGUGCCAGCGGGGCGCGAGCGUGGGGUCCCGGGGUGCCGGCUGGGCGCGAGCGUGGGGUCCCGGGGUGCCGGCUGGGGGCGAGCGUGGGGUCCCCGGGGUGCCGGCGGGGCGCGAGCGUGGGGUCCCCGGGGUGCCAGCGGGGCGCGAGCGUGGGGUCCCGGGGUGCCGGCUGGGCGCGAGCGUGGGGUCCCGGGGUGCCGGCUGGGCGCGAGCGUGGGGUCCCGGGGUGCCGGCUGGGGGCGAGCGUGGGGUCCCCGGGGUGCCGGCGGGGCGCGAGCGUGGGGUCCCGGGGUGCCGGCGGGGCGCGAGCGGGGUCCCCGCGGGGCGCGAGCGUGGGGGCCGGUCCGGGGGGUGGGGGCGCCGGCGGCCCGGGGGAGGGGAGCAGCGGGCCCCCGGAGCAAUGCCGGCGCCAGUCGUGGGGCGCCGCGGGGAGCAGGGCAGGGUGUGCGGGAGCCGGUGCCUUGGAGCCCCGUACCCCUACACUCUGA